rnacentral:hammerhead_ribozyme from 1 species
ACCCAGCUGACGAGUCCCAGAUAGGACGAAAUGCACAUUAUCCUGGAU